AACGGUCUAUACCUGCGGUACCUGCGGAAGGAUCAUUACCGAGUUAUCAACUCCCAAGCCCCUGUGAACAUACCCGAACGUUGCCUCGGCGGGACCGCCCCGGCGCCCCUAGCGGCCCGGAACCAGGCGCCCGCCGGAGGACCCAAACUCUUGCUUUAAACAGUGGCAUACUCUCUGAGUCUCACAAACAAAAAAUAAAUCAAAACUUUCAACAAUGGAUCUCUAGAUCGGAAGAGCACA
rnacentral:misc_RNA from 1 species